rnacentral:rRNA from 1 species
UACGAAGGGGGCUAGCGUUGCUCGGAAUUAAUGGGCGUAAAGGGAGCGUAGGCGGAUAGUUUAGUCAGAGGUGAAAGCCCAGGGCUCAACCUUGGAACUGCCUUUGAUACUGGCUAUCUUGAGUAUGGGAGAGGUGAGUGGAACUCCGAGUGUAGAGGUGAAAUUCGUAGAUAUUCGGAAGAACACCAGUGGCGAAGGCGACUCACUGGCCCAUUACUGACGCUGAGGCUCGAAAGCGUGGGGAGCAAACAGG